CAGCACCUCAAGUGGUCAGGAUGAUUAUUGGGCCUAAAGCAUCCGUAGCCGGCUCUGUAAGUUUUCGGUUAAAUCUGUAUGCUCAACAUACAGGCUGCCGGGAAUACUGCAGAUCUAGGGAGUGGGAGAGGUAGACGGUACUCGGUAGGAAGGGGUAAAAUCCUUUGAUCUAUUGAUGACCACCUGUGGCGAAGGCGGUCUACCAGAACACGUCCGACGGUGAGGGAUGAAAGCUGGGGGAGCAAACCGGAUUAGAUACCCGAGUAGUCC
rnacentral:rRNA from 1 species